CAAAGUUAGAAGAAGAGGUGGAGUAUUGAGAGAGUGUGUGAGUUAUUUUAUUAUUUUAUUUUUUAGAAGGAAGAGGAAUCAGAAGAAGAAAUGUCAGAGGAAGAGAGCAAAGACCAAACCAAAGUUUACAUCUCUCUCUUUCUCUUUGAUAAUGAGUUGAAGUUACAGGCUAAGUUGUUAUCAAAGGAGAAUUGGUCAGGGGCUGGGUCUCAGUAUCGUUGGUGGGCGGGGUUCUCCCACUGGGGACGUACCCAUUUACGUAAAGAGGAUCCUACCUGAGUCAGUGUUACAGA